UGCACCAUAACCUACCAGAGUACCUAUAUAAAGACGAGAGCGAGCUCGAAAUCACUGUAUUAAAAAAAGAAUAAGCUCGUGCGGAGUAAGGAGUGCGUGAGAUCCGGCAUGAAGAUGUCGAGGAGAUAUGCCCGUCAUGCACAAACGCCAUCAUUUAAAAUUGUGCCCUGUCGUCGGUGAUGGAAAAAACAGAUAAAGGACUGGAGCAACAUCGAAGCCACAGCCGAGCUCGAAUGGUACGAAGUUCUGCUGGAACUUAAAUAUACUUACUGGCUAACAGGGGCGAUCAACAGAUCGGAAGACCGCCGGGAUCUGCCCACUAUUCCGUGACCUACCCACAAGGUGAAUAAACAAAGAUUGAAUGAUUGGCUUGUACCGGAUUCCGUAGCAAUGUGAAGGUUAUAGAAAUAUAAAGAUAGGACACAGGAGGCAGACGCAUCUACCGAGGGAGAACAGUUAUGUGCAAGAUUCAGCGACAACACUAAGCUAAUCAUUUAAAUUCACGGUAACCUUCGAUUUUUAAAUAAAACCUCAGAGAACAAUAGGCAAACAUUGGUAUUUUUGUUCAUGAUAUAAAACUUCAAAUGAAAAUGGGCGAGGGAGUGGAAAUGUAAAUAGGUUUACCUGGCUGUUUUUAAAUGCAC